CAGUAGCCACGGUAAUACGGAGGGUGCAAGCGUUAAUCGGAAUUACUGGGCGUAAAGCGCACGCAGGCGGUCUGUCAAGUCAGAUGUGAAAUCCCCGGGCUUAACCUGGGAACUGCAUUUGAAACUGGCAGGCUAGAGUCUUGUAGAGGGGGGUAGAAUUCCAGGCGUAGCGGUGAAAUGCGUAGAGAUCUGGAGGAAUACCGGUGGCGAAGGCGGCCCCCUGGACAAAGACUGACGCUCAGGUGCGAAAGCGUGGGGAGCAAACAGGAUUAGAGACCCCAGUAGUCCCUGUCUCUUAUAU
rnacentral:rRNA from 1 species